UCUCCUGGAGCAGUGCUUGUAAAAAAUCCAAGCUAUCGUCGCGACGAAAAAAGCGACCUGCUACUUAUACAACACCAGUCAGAACAUAGGCCCUUCAGACAAAGCGAUCACCAAAUGGGGCGUCCGCGCCCACUGCCUCACCGCGCGGGCAGCCAGCGGCUGAGCGUAAACAAACUCGACCGCACUCCGCAACGCCGGCAUGUCUGGGGACAAACGAAUAUAACAUGCGCUAAGAAACCUCCUCCGUAGUGCCUAGGCAAUCAUAUAUUCAAGGAGCAAAAGCCCCCAGAUUUUUUUCUCUCGCGCCCGCCCUUACAACCUUUCCUUUCUCAGAACGAACCACUUGUAUGUUGCGGUGCCUGAUGUUGUGUCACUUCAUUUCUUAUUCUCACUAUGUCUGCAGUGGCGUCCGGUCGUCAGCCUCGUCAGCAGGCGCAUGCUUUUCAAGAAUGCUCAAGCCAGCCAGCAAGAGAGUGAUGUUCCCUAAGUACGAUUCGCCCUCCAGCCCCACAUAGCAUCGUCCCAUGUGCCUUUAGGAGUGCCAACAAAUUUUCUUCCUCAUUUGAAACAGCCUGUGUAGAAUACUAUAAACCAUUGAGCCUGCCAAUCCCUGUGGAAGCAGCUGCAUCUUUCCCCGAGGUGGUACGAAGAAGGAAGUUCCGUAGCUGUGACCUCAUUGACCAACUGCCUGGGAGUCCCAGUUGUCCAUAGAAGAUUGCAACAAAGUAUUCCAGGUUGAAAAUCAAGCCUUUCUGGUUAGCAGAAAUGGUGGGCCUCCUAAUCAAAACAUGGCCCCAGGGCCCACAACGAACUUUUUGUGGUAGGCCAACCACAGUUCAGUUGUAAUUCCAAUUGGAAAGUAUUGAAAGCACCACAAAUGAGUUUUGUGUGUGUGUGUGUGUGAUAAUGGUAUAGUUUUUGCAGCCAUGAUUUGAGCAAAAUACUAAUCUUUUAGAACAUUGGUUACUACUGGAAAGAUAUAUUCAAGAAAGCAUUGUGAAUGCACCUCUGCUGCCUUUUAAGCUUACAAUUCCGUCCAAGUCUUAGCCUGUUCUUUCUCUGCACUGUUUGCUUUAUUUGAAAAUAAAGUCUACUACAUUUAGUGAUGCUCUUAAAAAAGCUAAUUGGUCAAUGUACCCAUUCUAUAAGCAUUUUAACUAAAACAAUCUUAUUUUUACUUGCAUUGAUAAUUUAGAUUUAUGAGUUCUUUGUAAAGAAGUUGCAUUCACUAAGGACCCACUGUAUUAGUCGUAUUCAUGGCAACCAUACUAAAUCACAUUUGUAUUUAUGAAAUAAACUGCAUUUUUACUGCUCC